ensembl:lncRNA
GAGAGAGAGAGAUGGAUGAGAGAAGGAGAGAUGAGUAACGUGCAUGUGAAAUAGAACUGAAGUAAAUGGUCAGGAUGUCAGAUUUGAGUUUUCUGUAUAUAAGCAGUCGAGAGAUUGCACACGAUUGCAUCAUUACUGCUGAAAGACAGAAAAAGAGAGAGAGAGACCGGUAGAGAGACAGAUCUGAGUGAACAAAAUUUCUUGCACAUUUCUGUACAUAAAUGUUUACAGAUCAGAUCCAGUCUAAGUGUUUAUUAAAGGUACAGGCCAGGGUGUACAAACUUAUGAAAUUCUGACCGUAUAGCACUUUUCAGGUCAGAAGCGUUGCGUCUAAAGCAUUCACGCUGCCCUUUUUUUAACACUCCGGCGUGUGACUGAACAGAAAGUGUACAUAUAUAUGAGAAUAAAUAUAUAUACUGUAUUUUCUCUCUGUGUCAGAAGGACGAUAAACAACCGCGCGCUGACGCAGACGCUAGCGACGUCCUUACGACCUGUUUAUUCAGUGUUUCUACAAACACACGAGUAGCGCAAAGACUGUGUUAUAAUACUGUUUUUAACACACGCUCCUCGUCCACUUCCCUUUGGGCUCCAUCCCAAAAACUCCCACACUAUAUACUUACACACUUAAUUAUUUACUAGAACAGUGCUAGGAAAUGUCCGUAAUUAGCACACAAGCUAGUUAGUAUGCUAAUUGUUCAGCUAGCUAGUCAAUAAACUGAUGUAACUACACUAUGUACGAAUGUCUUUGGUCACUUUAAAAACAUUUCUAAAUAAUAUUGUACGAGUUAGCAAAGUAGUUACUUGCUACGCUAGCGACUUAGCGAGGUAUUUCUGAGGAGAAUCAAUUCAGCUACGUUUCCUGAUGUGUAAUAGACGUGUCGUGGGCUUUCAGGUCAGAUGGGGAAGUGGACAAACAGUAUUGAAACACAGGAGCAGAUCGUGUAAAAACGAAUGAAUACAUUUCAUGAGGUAAAACACUAGCAGCAGGUCGUUUAUCAACACAAAAAUCCUGCUUUGCAACGUUCUCUUUAAUAUUACGAUCAAUUUUAGCGUCAGUUUGAAGCGCUUUGUAUUUCUAGCUGCGUUCAAAUAGAGCUUGUGAAUCCGUGUUUUCGCUGUGAGAAGACGAUGUUGAGAACGAACAGUAUGUUACGGGACACGGAAUAUAUGCUAGCUAGUGACUUAGCUAGCUAAAAAGUAGACAGUGACAGUUGGAACAUCAACUUUUACCUCAGAUGUGUUGGUAAAUGUUUAGAAAAAGACUCCGGAUGGUUAAAUUGACACUGUAAUUACACUUAGCAUCAACCGCUAACAGGACUAAUGUGAGCCGCCAUUUUAUUUAUUGUUUUAAAAACCUGGGACAGCUCUUUGCUGCAGUACAUUUUGUGUUGAGAAGUUUUGGACACUACGCCUUGCGAAUCUUUCUCGUGAACACGAUGACGCACGACUGUAUUUGAACGCAGCGUCUUGUACAGAAGCACACUUCGAAGUUUACAGUGUAGAUAUAAACAAACGCAGAACUUUCAGCUCAUUCAGGCGCUUCAGUGGGUGACCGCUUCGUUCGUUCUGUGCUACUCGUACAUUCCUUUUCUAAGGACCCGAGUCGAUCUGCACACGCUGUUUCGCAAUCGGUGGCUUUUUUCUAGCGUCGUGUGACUUUUGCAGCCGAGCGGGUUUGUGACGGGUUUUAUGCUGACGUUCUGACUUUCUGUGUUUCUUGAAUGUGAUUUUUGCUACGGCUGAGCCAUGAUGUGUGUUUAAUAAAGAGCCGGUUGUGCAACCUUCUGUGCGUGUGUGUACAUGCCCAUUGAUUUUUUUCUGUUGCUUAUGAAAAAAUACUUUAGACAUCAUGUCAGAAACAAUUGAAGCCAAAAUGACUCUGUUGCCAUCUAGUGGUGGACAGCGGUCAUUAAAAAAAACAAACAUUUUAACCACAUUCCCCCAUUCUUUUAUUUCACUUUUCUCUUGUCGACAUUAGUGUUCAUGGUUAAUACACCUAGUUAAAACAUGCUGUUAUAAAUCAGCCAGGCUUCUUGAUGGUAUCCGAGGAGAAAACGAUAAAAUACGUAGCUCUGCUUUACCCACUAAUGCCUCCUUCACCCAGCAACCACAAAAUUGCUCUGAGCAGCUCGAUCUUGCAGAUAGAAGGAAUUUCAAUGGUUCAAACAGCUGGUGGGUGGAGCUUAUUAUUUCCUCCCCUAGCUAGUUACAGGGUGCUUCUCAAUACUCAGAUGAAUGCUUCCUCGUGUCCUCGCUCCUCCGCCCUCCAGCCCGUGACCCGGAAAUCGAUCGGUCGGAUAUUCCAUUCGACUUGCUUCGAUUCCUCUCUCCUCACAUCUCCUCUUUGCAUCCUUUUCUUACAUCCUAAGGGGGUGGAGCUAAGACUCGAGGAAAGGAAAUAAUCCACAAAUAAAAAAUGAGAAGCACUCACUGUCAUUGGAAUGCACUUUGCUAGUAAAACCUAGCAACACUUCCUUGAUACUAGCAUGUUGGUGCAUUUUCUCAUUUCAGCUACACAGGGCAUAUAAACCAUAAACUCUUUUGGCCACUAGCGUUAGCAUGUUAGCUAGUCAGGUGGAUACCUAGCUACUCAGUGUUGGCUAGAAACUUCAUAUUAGCACGUUGGUUCAUUUUCUAAUCGUGAUUUUAUGCUAGAAAACUGCUCAGAAAGCUACUCUAAUCUUGUUUGUGUGUGGUUCUUCUGCGUUCCUCCGGGUUCUCCAGUUUCCUCCUGCCUCCAGAAACAUGCUGUUUGUUUGAUGGU